GGUCUCAUACGGAUAGAAUGAUGGAAUCUUGUGGUCUAAAAUAAGUGUAUUCUUUUCUUGUCCAUCAUAAAAGGUAUGUUUUGGUUAGUUGAAAUGGAAAGAUAAAAAAGCCUGGAUUUUGUUUAUCAUGACUGUUUGCUGUUCCUUUUUUGUAGUGUUCAAAGUGAAACAUCUAAGGUAAAAGACCUGCAUCCUGUCUUGUUUGGUUCAUGGGAUUGCUCCACUAAUCUUCUGUAUAGAAAUAGUUAUUCUGUCACAUGAUUAAUGUGUCAAUGAUGAAAAACAAGUUGUGUAUCCUGCAUUUGGUGAGUGGUCAAAUGAGCAUCACUUUAGGAAUAUUCUCUAUGGAGUAACUUUUUAGAUAUUUGUUGUUGGCUAUAUUUAGUUUACUUAGC
rnacentral:lncRNA from 1 species